CAGCCGCCGCGGGAAUACGUAGGGUGCAAGCGUUAAUCGGAAUUACUGGGCGUAAAGCGUGCGCAGGCGGUUUGUUAAGACAGAUGUGAAAUCCCCGGGCUCAACCUGGGAACUGCAUUUGUGACUGGCAAGCUAGAGUCUGGCAGAGGGGGGUGGAAUUCCGCGUGUAGCAGUGAAAUGCGUAGAUAUGCGGAGGAACACCGAUGGCGAAGGCAGCCCCCUGGGCCAACACUGACGCUCAUGCACGAAAGCGUGGGGAGCAAACAGGAUUAGAUACCCCCGUAGUCCCUGUCUCUUAUAC
rnacentral:rRNA from 1 species